rnacentral:misc_RNA from 1 species
GUGAAGAACGCAGCGAAAUGCGAUACUUGGUGUGAAUUGCAGAAUCCCGUGAACCAUCGAGUCUUUGAACGCAAGUUGCGCCCGAAGCCAUUAGGCCGAGGGCACGCCUGCCUGGGCGUCACACGUCGUUGCCCCCCCAUCUACUCCUUCGGGAUUGCGGGGGGCGGAUGAUGGCCUCCCGUGCGCCUCGUCGCGCGGUUGGCAUAAAUGCCAAGUCCUCGGCGACGCACGCCACGACAAUCGGUGGUUGCGAAACCUCGGUUGCCCGUCGUGUGCGGUCGUCGCGCAUCGAGGGCUCGAAAAAAUUGCCGGGCUCCGGCUCGGCUUUCAACGCGACCCCAGGUCAGGCGGGGUUACCCGCUGAAUUUAAGCAUAUCAUAAGCGGAGGA